UCGGAUAUGGUGUAACGGCUAACAUUGCCGCCUUUCAUGAAUUGAUCGCGGCAGCUCGGGGUUCGAUUCCCCGUAUCCGAG